rnacentral:rRNA from 1 species
CGAACCUCUGGUGUGCCAGUUGUUCUGCCAAGAGCACGGCUGGUUAGCUACGUUCGGAAGUGAUAACCGCUGAAAGCAUCUAAGCGGGAAGCACGUUUCAAGAUGAGGUUUCCCACCGGGUUAACCGGGUAAGGCCCCCAGUAGACGACUGGGUUGAUAGGCCGGAGGUGUACAGCAGUAAUGCCUAGCCGACCGGUACUAAUAGGCCGAGGGCUUGUCCCU